rnacentral:rRNA from 1 species
UGGGGAAUAUUGCACAAUGGGCGCAAGCCUGAUGCAGCCAUGCCGCGUGUGUGAAGAAGGCCUUCGGGUUGUAAAGCACUUUCAGCGAGGAGGAAGGCAGUCGUGUUAAUAGCACGGUUGAUUGACGUUACUCGCAGAAGAAGCACCGGCUAACUCCGUGCCAGCAGCCGCGGUAAUACGGAGGGUGCAAGCGUUAAUCGGAAUUACUGGGCGUAAAGCGCACGCAGGCGGUUUGUUAAGUCAGAUGUGAAAUCCCCGCGCUUAACGUGGGAACUGCAUUUGAAACUGGCAAGCUAGAGUCUUGUAGAGGGGGGUAGAAUUCCAGGUGUAGCGGUGAAAUGCGUAGAGAUCUGGAGGAAUACCGGUGGCGAAGGCGGCCCCCCUGGACAAAGACUGACGCUCAGGUGCGAAAGCGU